AACGAACGCUGGCGGCGCGCCUAAUACAUGCAAGUCGAGCGAGAAGACGUAGCAAUACGUUUGUAAAGCGGCGAACGGGUGAGGAAUACAUGGGUAACCUACCCUCGAGUGGGGAAUAACUAGCCGAAAGGUUAGCUAAUACCGCGUACGCUCCUUGGACUUCGGUUCAGGGAGGAAAGCGAUACCGUGGGUAUCGCGCUCUUGGAUGGGCUCAUGUCCUAUCAGCUUGUUGGUGAGGAACGGCUCACCAAGGCUUCGACGGGUAGCUGGUCUGAGAGGACGAUCAGCCACACUGGCACUGCGACACGGGCCAGACUCCUACGGGAGGCAGCAGUAAGGAAUAUUGCGCAAUGGGCGAAAGCCUGACGCAGCGACGCCGCGUGGGGGAGUGAAGGUCUUCGGAUUG
rnacentral:rRNA from 1 species